UUGGUUGGGUGGUGGGCCUUCCAGAAGGUCAAUUACGCAGGGGUACACUACUUUAGCAAUGGGGCCCAUGAGAAAAAAUAGACCAAUCAGGAUCCAUCUUAUUCCAAGUUUGCCAUAGACACGUGUUGCUUUUGCACCCUAUGACCUGUUACUGCUGUUUUGAUUACCGCCUGAACGAACCAUCUCGGAGUAAGAGAGAGAGAGAAAGAAAGAAAAGUAAAAGAGAGAGUGCGAGCUCAAAGAAGAAGUUGGUGGUGGCGGAGGAGGAGGAGGAGAUCAUGGAAGGAAAAGCCAAGGAAACGUGGUGCAUGCUAAGAUGCAAAGGUUUUUCGCAGAAUAAUAACAACGAGCUAAUCAAUCGUACAAUGCUCAGAUUCAGGCCGAUAGCACCGAAACCAGCCAGCAACGGCACUGUAUCAGGUGGCUUAGGAGUGGAUAACAAUAAAUCGCUGGUAAGUAGCAAAAGAUCUAAAAGAAAGUACGUUGGGGUUCGCAAGAACAAGGGAUAUAAGAGAAAGAAUCGAAUCUCUCCUCAUGAAGGAGUAAACAAGACAGUUGUGACGCUACAGUUUUUCCCUGAGAAAACUGAUUCGGAGAAAUCAGAUUCAAACACCAAAACCCAAGAGCCAUGGUGCAAUAUUGAUGAUAAUAAUAAUAAUAUUGUUGAUCCCAUGGUUUCUUCAAAGGGUGGUGGUGUGGUUGAAGUUUAUGAUCACGAGCUAAAUCAUCAAAUAGAAAAAAAGGGAUUUGGAUUGUCGGUUCAGACGAUGGUGGUGGAGUCAUGGGUGACGGUGGAGAGCGUGACGGAGACAAGCAUGGACGGGAGAGGGUUACCGGGGAGUACAGACUUUGAGAGAAUGAAUAAUCUAAAGGAGGACACGUGUCCAGGGUUUAUAUCAGACGGUUUAAACAGGGUUCAGUGGGUUAAUGGAGCGUACAAAAGGAUGGUGAUGGGAAGAAAUAACAGUAAUAAUGGAUAUAAGGAAGGAGGAGAAUCACCGGAAAUAAUGGUGGAGUUGAUAAUGAAAGAAAAGCUUCCGGUGUGUGUUUACUCAUCGUUUACGACCAGGGUGAGGGUGCAGUACACGUGGCAGAAGGAAAAUUACUCGAAAAUGGUUCCAUGUGAUGUGUUCAGAAUGGACUGUGGAGGGUUUGCAUGGAGGCUGGACAUUGAAGCCGCCCUCAGUUUGGGUCGUUAAUGAGGAAGAUGAUCAUCAAAAUCAAGUUCAACAACUGAAAUAAUCCGGUAAUGUAUGAGGAGGGAAUUUUUCCUCGCGGGGACGGAGAGAGAAUUUUUUCCCACGAGGACAGGAAGGGGAUUUUCCUUCGCGAGAAAGGGAUGGGGAUUCUUUGUUAUCCCCGUAACGGGGACGGGGACAGGGAUUGAUAUCCCCUCCUCGCCCCUCCCCAUUGCCAUCCCUAAGUCUAGCUACCACCACCCACCUUCACUUGUUAGUGCAAAGAAGGAGAAGAAAGUUAGAGCUUGUCAUUGUGUGAAAAAGGCAAAGAGUAUUUUGAAUCCCAUCAUGAUGUUAAAAAGGUAAAAAGGUAAAGAAGGGAAUGAGUUUGGGCUGGAUCUCCAGAUUAGUUGGCUCCCCCACGGCGUUGCUCCUACAAUGUCGAUCAAUGGUGGGGGAGGAAGCCAUAGCCACUGCCACACACAUUAGUCUUCAAGUACCAAUUGUUGAACUAUUCUUAUUCAACUCCCACCUUUUGCUUUACUGUAGUUUUUCCCCAACCAUUUCCCUCUACACCUUUGAUUUAAUUUAACAUUGAUUAUUUAUGCAUUCUAAUUUAACCAAACACAAUAAUAAUAAUAAUAAUUUAUACUUAAAAAUUCUUAUGAUAA